rnacentral:rRNA from 1 species
GACGAACGCUGGCGGCGUGCCUAAUACAUGCAAGUCGAGCGGAUCAGUUUGAAAGCUUGCUUUCAAACUGGUUAGCGGCGGACGGGUGAGUAACACGUAGGCAACCUGCCUGCAAGACUGGGAUAACAUUCGGAAACGAAUGCUAAUACCGGAUACGCGAUUUCCUCGCCUGAGGGAAUCGGGAAAGACGGAGCAAUCUGUCACUUGCAGAUGGGCCUGCGGCGCAUUAGCUAGUAGGUGAGGUAACGGCUCACCUAGGCGACGAUGCGUAGCCGACCUGAGAGGGUGAUCGGCCACACUGGGACUGAGACACGGCCCAGACUCCUACGGGAGGCAGCAGUAGGGAAUCUUCCGCAAUGGACGAAAGUCUGACGGAGCAACGCCGCGUGAGUGAGGAAGGCCUUCGGGUCGUAAAGCUCUGUUGCCAGGGAAGAACGGAUGGAGGAGUAACUGCCUUCAUCAUGACGGUACCUGAGAAGAAAGCCCCGGCUAACUACGUGCCAGCAGCCGCAGUAAUAC